GGAACUUCGGCAGCCAUAUUUUUACUUUGCACCGUUGGAUUAGAUUGAUUUGUGGAUAUGUUAUUAUACUCAAUGUCACCUACAUUCGGACCGGAGGGAUUGCAAAUAUCAGACUUCGUUUGAGGGCUGUCACCGGAGGAACAUUUCUGGAAAAUCACCCUUCAAGACAGCUUUGUUCGUCGGCCGUUAUAUCAUCGUUUCACCGUUGGAUUGGUCUGGAUUUUGGAUAUGUUAUUCAUCCAGAUGUUAUAUAAAUUCUGAACGGUUUGAAUCGGAAAAGAACACUCCUAACAGAAAUUAAACUUCCCGAAUAGCAGGUCUCCAAAUUUCAGGAGAAGCAUUCACUCGACUUCUCAGGAGCUCGUAUAGUAGGAGCUUAAGGAGGGACUGCAAGAGGGGCACAACAACAACAAGGAAGAGCGAGUUGAGCUUCUGCAGCUGGAUGCAGGCAAAUAUCGUAUCGCUUGGGACGUGAGAAUAGAAGUUCAUUAACCAUGGUCCUUCAGAUUCACGCCAGGAGUAGCGUUUUAGGUCCUCUAGUCUCCUUUUGUAUGAUUGAAUAAGAAGAUGAACAUUAAUGUAUUUUGUCUUUAAGGAACUAAAUGACUUAAUAUGUAAUAGUACUCCUUUUACAUUAAGUGUCGGACAUAAAAAUGUAUUAUUCUGUAUUUGUAAUCUUAGUUUGUUUACUUGCAAUUGUUAUGAAUUAUGUGUGUUAAUGGGAAAGAAAUGAGCAUGCGAAAUGUGAGGCAUGUACCAUGAA